GCAUGGGUGGUUCAGUGGUAGAAUUCUCGCCUGCCACCCAGGAGACCUGGGUUCGAUUCCCGGCCCAUGCA
rnacentral:tRNA from 1 species